UGCGCAGGCGGGCUCAUAAGUCGGGGGUUAAAUCCAUGUGCUUAACACAUGCAUGGCUUCCGAUACUGUGAGUCUGGAGUCUCGAAGAGGAAGAUGGAAUUUCCGGUGUAACGGUGGAAUGUGUAGAUAUCGGAAAGAACACCAGUGGCGAAGGCAGUCUUCUGGUCGAGAACUGACGCUCAGGCACGAAAGCGUGGGGAGCAAACA
rnacentral:rRNA from 1 species